UAACUGGAGGGGUUUUUCCUAUCCUAGC
rnacentral:sRNA from 1 species